CCUGAGUACUUAAUUAAGCCCUAAUUCCCCGAUUUCCUCCUCCUCCUCCUUCGCGCGAGUUUCUUUUCUCCCGAGCCUCCCUCUCGAUUUCUCCUCGCCUAAUCGCCGGCCGUCGCGAGCUCAGUGCCGGCAAUGAUCUCCUCCUCCGGCAUGUCUCAUCACCAGUAAACCCUCUGGAAUACCAAGUACACUGAAAAACCCUUUCUCUCUCACGCGAACACCCGACGCCGACGAAGAAUGACUUCCUCCACUGCGAUCGUGUCCUCGCCGAGUUGUCUGAGGAAGUAUCGCUGUAUCUCGACGGUACCGGUCAUCUCCGGAUGAGCGAUUGCAUCUUCGACGGUUUCUUGCUCGUCAUCGGCGGUUUCUCGACUUCUAGGGCAUGUCAGGGCUAGGGCUCGGCUGAUUGAGCCUUUCUCAGUUCUUCUCUUCGAUCUGAUCAUUGGAGAGAGUUACGGAUCAUCACCAGCUGGAGUGGAUCGUGCGACACCAUUGGAGGCGAUCGGUUAAGGAGGCUUUGGAUUCACAUAAUGGUGGAAUGUUCCUUUACCGUUCGCUGCCCUCUCCAAUUCUUGCGGCUAGGUUCUUUGGUAGCUGUUGGGAGAAGAGGUAAGGGUCUGUUGAGGUAAGGUUUGAUCUGUUUGUUAAUGGUUCGGCUAUUCUUAGCUGUACAAACUAAGCUAUGGAUUGAUUCUUGGAAGAAUAGGUGUGUGUGUGCUCUUGUAGCUUAGGGACAGAGAUCUUGGUGCUGUGAGCUACUGGAUUUGGUUGCCUUAUCUCAAGGACUUGGAUUCGGGAUGAGUGUCUCGACGUGGUAUUUCUGGACAUGAUCUACGAAUAAAGGUAGAUGGUUGGAGUGUUGCUUGGAGUAUCCUGUUUGCCGGGUCCUACGUCACAUCCGAAG